rnacentral:rRNA from 1 species
UACGAAGGUCCCAAGCGUUAUCCGGAUUUAUUGGGUUUAAAGGGUGCGUAGGCGGGUUAUUAAGUCAGUGGUGAAAGCCUUCAGCUUAACUGAAGAACUGCCAUUGAUACUGAUGAUCUUGAGUAUGAUUGAGGUGGGCGGAAUGUGUCAUGUAGCGGUGAAAUGCUUAGAUAUGACACAGAACACCGAUUGCGAAGGCAGCUGGCUACGCAUAUAUUGACACUGAGGCACGAAAGCGUGGGGAUCAAACAGG